AUGUCAGUUUCGUUAUUACAACCUUAUUUUUUUAUGUCAAAGACAAAAAGCUACGCGCAAAUUCUCAUUGGAUCUCGGUUGUUCUUAACAGCGAUGGCUAUUCAUUUAAGUCUUCGGAUAGCACCACCAGAUCUUCAACAAGGUGGAAAUUAUCGUAUUUCAUAUGUACAUGUUCCUGCGGCUCGGAUGAGUAUAGUUAUUUAUAUCGCGACAGCUAUAAACAGUUCCUUGUUCCCAUUAACAAAACAUCCCCUUUUUCUUCGCUCUUCCGGAACCGGUACAGAAAUUGGUGCUUUUUCUACUUUGUUUACGUUAGUGACUGGGGGGUUUCGGGGAAGGCCUAUGUGGGGUACCUUUCGGGUGUGGGAUGCUCGUUUAACUUCUGUAUUCAUCUUGUUCCUUAUUUACCUGGGUGCACUGCGUUUUCAAAAGCUUCCUGUCGAACCAGCUCCUAUUUCAAUCCGUGCUGGACCGAUCGAUAUAACAAUAAUAAAGUCUCUAGUCAACUGGUGGAAUACAUCGCAUCAACCUGGGAGCAUUAGCCGAUCUGGUACAUGA
rnacentral:rRNA from 1 species